GGCGGAGCCCUCCCCAUGGCCGAGCUCCUGCCCCAGCUGCCUUGGCCCCCACUGGCUGAGGGUAGCACGGAGGAUGCAUCAGUGCCCCGGGCCAAGUGGCAGAGCCAGCAGCCAAAGGGUGGUGGGGCAGAGGGCCUGGCCCGUGAGCCCUGGAGGUUCCUGGAGGUGCCCUCCAUUUAUAUCACACCAUGCAGUGAUGGGGAAUCACCCCCGUGCACCCCGACCCCCCAACGCCUGCAGCUGCCGAGGACGCCAGACCCGGACAGUCUGUCCCAGGACAGCACCACCCCCCACUCCGGUCGGAGCACACCAAGCAGCUCCCCGUCUCUCCGCAAGCGGCUGCAGCUCUUGCCCUCGAGCCGAUCCCCACCUGAGCCUGAACCAGGCACCAUGGUGGAGAAGGGGUCAGACAGCUCCUCAGAGAAGGGUGGGGUGCCUGGGACACCCAGCACCCAGAGCCUGGGCAGCCGGAACUUCAUCCGCAAUAGCAAGAAGAUGCAGAGCUGGUACAGUAUGCUGAGCCCCACGUACAAACAGCGGAACGAGGACUUCCGGAAACUGUUCAGCAAGCUCCCGGAGGCCGAACGCCUCAUCGUGGAUUACUCCUGUGCCUUGCAGCGCGAGAUCCUCCUCCAAGGCCGCCUCUACCUCUCCGAGAACUGGAUCUGCUUCUACAGCAACAUCUUCCGCUGGGAAACAACAAUUUCCAUCCAGUUGAAGGAAGUGACCUGUCUGAAGAAGGAGAAGACAGCCAAGCUGAUCCCCAAUGCCAUCCAGAUCUGCACUGAGAGCGAGAAGCAUUUCUUCACCUCCUUUGGGGCCCGGGACCGCUGCUUCCUCCUCAUCUUCCGCCUCUGGCAGAAUGCACUGCUUGAAAAGACGCUGAGCCCCCGUGAGCUCUGGCACUUGGUACAUCAGUGCUAUGGCUCCGAGCUGGGCCUCACCAGCGAGGAUGAGGACUAUGUCUGCCCCUUGCAGCUGAAUGGUCUAGGGAGCUCCAAAGAAGUGGGAGACGUGAUCGCCCUGAGUGAUAUCACCCCCUCGGGGGCAGCUGACAACAGCCAAGAGCCGAGCCCGGUGGGCUCGCGCCGUGGUCGCAUCACCCCCAACCUUUCCCGAGCCAGCAGUGAUGCAGACCAUGGGGCCGAGGAGGACAAGGAGGAGCAGACGGACAGCCAGCCAGAUGCCUCCUCCAGCCAGACCGUGACCCCGGUGGCUGAACCACCGAGCACUGAGCCGACCCCGCCUGAGGGGCCCACCUCCCUGGGCCCCUUGGACCUGCUGCGCAGUGAGGAGCUGUUGACAGACACGAGCAACUCUUCCUCGUCCACAGGGGAGGAAGCUGACCUGGCCGCCUUGCUGCCCGAUCUCUCCGGCCGGCUCCUCAUCAACUCCGUCUUCCACGUGGGAGCCGAGCGGCUGCAGCAGAUGCUUUUCUCAGAUUCGCCCUUCCUGCAGGGCUUCCUGCAGCAGUGCAAGUUUACAGAUGUGACCUUGAGUCCCUGGAGUGGCGACAACAAGUGCCACCAGCGCCGAGUGCUGACGUACACCAUCCCCAUCAGCAACCCCCUGGGCCCCAAGAGCGCCUCCGUGGUGGAGACACAGACACUGUUCCGGCGCGGCCCCCAGGCGGGCGGCUGCGUGGUGGACUCCGAGGUGCUGACCCAGGGCAUCCCGUACCAGGACUACUUCUACACUGCCCACCGCUACUGCAUCCUGGGCCUUGCCCGCAACAAGGCCCGGCUGCGGGUGUCCUCUGAGAUCCGCUACCGGAAGCAGCCCUGGAGCCUCGUGAAGUCUCUCAUCGAGAAGAACUCCUGGAGCGGCAUUGAAGAUUACUUCCACCACCUGGAGCGGGAGCUUGCCAAGGCGGAGAAGCUGUCCCUGGAGGAAGGUGGGAAGGACGCGCGCACACUGCUGUCAGGCCUGCGGCGACGCAAGCGGCCCCUGAGCUGGAGGGGUCAUGGCGACGGGCCCCAGCACCCAGACCCGGACCCCUGCGCCCGGGCGGGCAUGCACACCUCAGGUUCCCUCAGCUCUCGCUUCUCUGAACCGUCCGCGGACCCAGGCCCUGGGGCAGGCGUCCCCAGCGCCCUGGUUCUCAUCAGCGUGGUCGGGGUGAUCGUGAUGCCCCUUUGUGGUUUGGUUGUGUGGGUGCUGACGUUGGAGAGCCUCUGUGUCCAGACGCUGACCUCUGACCCCUGCCCUCAGCCUCAUCGUCCUCAUCGCCCUCAAUGUCCUCCUCUUUUACCGCCUCUGGUCCCUGGAGAGGACGGCCCACACCUUCGAGUCCUGGCACAGUCUGGCCCUGGCCAAGGGCAAGUUCCCCCAGACGGCCACGGAGUGGGCGGAGAUCCUCGCCCUCCAGAAGCAGUUCCACAGCGUUGAAGUGCACAAGUGGAGACAGAUCCUGCGGGCAUCCGUGGAACUCCUCGAUGAGAUGAAGUUCUCGCUGGAGAAGCUGCAUCAAGGCAUCACUGUCUCGGACCCUCCCUUCGACUCCCAGCCACGGCCUGAUGACAGCUUCUCCUGAGGAACCUCAGCCCCACGGCCGACCCCCCUAACGGAUAGACGGACACAGAGCCUCGGUGGCCACUGCUGGCACGGUGUGAGCGCCGGGAGCCUCCCGCCCACCCCUCCCCGUGGCCCAGCCAGGGGCCACACAGACAUGGGGACCACAGAACCGAGAUGCACUUUAGACCAGCGUGUGCAAGUCCAGCUGCCGUCACCGGCCCAGCCAGGGAGCUGGCCUGGCCCCCCGCUAACUUAUUUUGCCCAGCUGGGGUUGUGGGGGGCGCCUCUGGGGUGCACGAUUCCCUCAGCUCUGGGUUUAAUGUAUUAUAUUUAUUUGGGGCCGACGGAAAGCCCCAAUAAAGGGUUGGAAACAGC